GCGAGUAGGGGACGCAGUGAUCCUCGGGCCGUCUACAACGGUCGCCUCGCCAGUGGAAGCUUCGCCGGCAGGCCCGAGGGGAGCGAGUGGCGAGACCGACCCCAGGACCG
rnacentral:ncRNA from 1 species